rnacentral:rRNA from 1 species
CCAUGCGAGUCGAAUGUAGCAAUACAUGGCGAACUGCUCAGUAACACGUGGACAACCUGCCCUUAGGUUGGGUAUAAACCCGGGAAACUGGGUAUAAUACCCGAUAGGUCUCGAUUGCUGGAAUGCAUCGAGAUUUAAAGCUCCGGCGCCUAAGGAUGGGUCUGCGGCCUAUCAGGUAGUAGUGGGUGUAGCGUACCUACUAGCCUACGACGGGUACGGGUUGUGAGAGCAAGAGCCCGGAGAUGGAUUCUGAGACACGAAUCCAGGCCCUACGGGGUGCAGCAGGCGCGAAAACUUUACAAUGCUGGCAACAGCGAUAAGGGAACCUCGAGUGCCAGGUUACAAAUCUGGCUGUCGAGAUGCCUAAAAAGCAUUUCAUAGCAAGGGCCGGGCAAGACCGGUGCCAGCCGCCGCGGUAACACCGGCGGCUCGAGUGGUAACCGUUAUUAUUGGGUCUAAAGGGUCUGUAGCCGGCCGGAUAAGUCUCUUGAGAAAUCUGGCAGCUUAACUGUCAGGCUUUCAGGAGAUACUGUCUGGCUCGAGGCCGGGAGAGGUGAGAGGUACUUCAGGGGUAGGGGUGAAAUCUUGU